AUUGAAUUUGAAAUGAGUAAGAGAACUCCCAUAACUUAAGCAUAUCAAUAAGGGAAGGAAUAGAAAACAACAGUGAUGUCUCCAGUAACGGCGAGUGAACAAGACAGAGGCCAAGUUGGUAGAAUCAGGACGUAGCAAAGAUCUGGAGGGAGAGGGCUUCGGUUCUCAAUGGCCGGGUCAUGCGUCUUGAAGUGUAACCAAAAUGAAUUGAUAAAUCGAAGACUUUGUCAAUCGAGGAAUAGGAAUGGAAAGUCCAGCGAUACAAAGUGAAAGCCUUGUAUCUCGGUGACUUGGUCUGGUAGUAUUUAUCAAGAAAAAGAGUAGAUUUACUUGGAAGUGUAAAUUGAAAUGGUGAUAGUACACACCAAAGCCUAAAUACUAUGGGAAAACUGAUAGCAAAGAAGUACCGCGAGGGAAAGACGAAAAGUACUUUGGAAAAAGAGUUAAAAGACCUGAAAUGACAUUGUUGGAACGGAUUAUUCAUUCAAUUAAUCCCAAAGAUUACAAAUCCCAGUGGCAUUUAACCAAAGUUUGGACAUUUCAAACGAUGGAGCUGUGUCUUACGGAAAUGUAAUUGGAGAGGGUUGAAAGGGAUACGGGUUGUGAUAUAUUCAUGAAUGUUUUCGGUAGGACUUUUCCAAACACAAGAUGGGACUGUUCAAUAUUGAAGACAUAACUUGAACAUGAAAGAAACGAUCACAGCUUGAUAGAUCAUGGACAAACUUACAAAAUGUAAGGCACGAAAUGAUUUUGUUCCUGGAUGGAUAACCCACCCGUCUUGAAACACGGAUCAAGGAGUCUAAUAUGGAUGCGAAUGUGAAAUGAGUGACUCAUACACAUGAAACGAAAGUAAAAAAAUAUAUUCAUGAUUCAUUCCCUCGGGGAUGAUGCAAUGAAAUUGUUUUUUUCAAGCAAUAAAGUAGACAUGUUAGGACCCGAAAGAUGGUGAACUAUACUUGAAUUGGUUGAAGUCGAAGGAAACUCCGAUGGAAGACCUUAGCAGUAUUGACGUGCAAAUCAUUUGCAAGAAUUUGAGUAUAGGGGCGAAAGACUUAUCGAACUAUCUAGUAGCUGGUUCCACCUGAAUAUUCCCUUAGGAAGGCCAAAAUGUUAAAUAGUAUUGUCUGGUAAAGCUAAUGAUUAGAAGUAAUGGGGAUAUUUAUGUCCUUAUCUUCUUCUCAAACUAUGAAGAGGCAACAAAAAGGAUGAUCACCAAUUAUGAUUUUCCUUGUUUGAUAUAAAACACAUUUUGAGUCGGCCACGUCUGGUAAGCAGGAUUGGCAAUGUGGGAUGAACCAAACGUGUGAGUUAAGGUGUCAAAUAAGAAACAUAAUGAACACCAUGAAAGGCAUUCAUUCAUCUUGACAAUAGGACGGUGGCCAUGGAAGUCGGCAUUCGCUAAGAAGUGUGUAACAACUUACCUAUCGAAUGAAUGAGUCCUGAAAAUGAAUGGCAUUCUAAUUUCUAUUAAAUACCAAUACUCAACCGUUCAAUUAAACAAAUUGAAAAUUGAACGAGUAAGGAAACAAAAUGGCGUGGAGACUACAAUUAUGCAAGUUGCAAAGAUCCCAAGUAAUUGGGAUUGGAACAGUCUCUAGUGCAGAUCUUGGUGGUAGUAGCAAAUAUUUGUCUGAAAUCGACAAGGACUAAAGUGGAGAAAGGUUUCUUAACAACAUUACUUGGUUAAGAGUUAAUCGAUCCUAAAUAACGGAUGAAAUUCUUUUUGAAAAUUUUGACAAUGGAAAAUGUUUCAUUUUCUGUUCAAAAGGAAUUUUGAAAGGGGAUAAGGUUAAUAGUCCUUAAUCAAAUAAAAUCAUCAUUGAUCACACUUGUGUGUUCAAUAAUGAAUAAAUUGGCAACAAUUACGAGCUUUAAAACGGAUUGAAUAUCUCCAUGGAGGAGCCCACUUUUCCUUUUAACAAUUCACUCGAGACCGUUGAGCUUGAAUCAAUCAGAGAAACGGUUUUGCUUUGUGUUGUAAUAGAAUCGACAUAUGUUCGAUUCAUGGAGCGUUUCAAUCUUGAUAAAAAUUAAAGUGAGUCUAAACACCAAAAAGAUUUUAUUUGAUCGUACUCAUAACCGCAACAGGUCUCCAAGCUUAAUAAGCUCUAGUCAAAGAGAAGAACGUUGGUAAGGGAAGUCGGCAACAUGGCUCUGUACGUUCGCAAGAAAGAGUAGCUCUCAACGGUUCUUAAUCUUCGGAUUAAACUAUGAACCGACGUGAGAACUUGAUAAGAUUAGGGGAAUCCGACUGUUUAAUAAAAACAUAGCAUUCUGUCAAAUCUAAGGAUUCAAAACAGAAUGUGAUUUCUGCCCAGUGCUCUGAAAGUCAAGGUAAUGAAAUUUGCUUAAGCUCGGGUUAACGGCGGGAGUAACUAUGACUCUCUUAAGGUAGCCAAAUGCCUCGUCAUCUAAUUAGUGACGCGCAUGAAUGGAUCACCGUGAUUCCUACUGUCCCUAUCUACAUUCUCGUGAAACCACAGUCAAGGGAACGGGCUUGAUUGAAACGGCGGGGAAAGAAGACCCUGUUGAGCUUUACUCUAGUCUAUAUGUUGUAAAACGGAUCGGGUGAUGUAGGCUAAAUGGGAGAUUCGUCAAACGUGAAAUACCAUUACAUCUGCAUCUGUUCUACUCAUUUCAUUAUGUGUCAAAUAUCGUUUACGAUUUAAGCCACUCAAAAGCAUAAAUCGAACAUACGUUCGAGAGACAUGUGAAAGAAUUUCAUGUAGAUGGGGAGUUUGGCUGGGGCGGCACAUCUGUUAAAAGAUAACGCAGGUGUCCAAAGAUGGACUCAAUGAGGACAGAAACCUCAUGUUGAAUAUAAGGGUAAAAGUCCGUUUGAUUAUUCAAUCCAGUACAUUGAAUAACUCUGAAAAGAUGGCCUAACGAUCCCUAAGAUCGAUUGUUGGAUUGUUCUUUUCCUUUCAGGGAUUGACCCGAGAAGGAAUUAACACGAAAGUGUUGCAAGACAAUAAUCACCUUUUGUAAUAAGGUUUGGGGUGUCAGAAAAGUUACCACAGGGAUAACUGGCUUGUGGCAGCCAAGCGAUCACAGCGACGUUGCUUUUUGAUCCUUCGAUGUCGGCUCUUCCUAUCCAUUUCAAGCAGAAUUGAAAAAAGGUAUGAUUGUUCACCAUUUAAUAGGGAACGUGAGCUGGGUUUAGACCGUCGUGAGACAGGUUAGUUUUAUCCUACCGUUUCGAACGGUGUUUAGGAUACAGAAUGACAGAAGUUCAACUUAGUACGAGAGGAACUGUUGAACCACACCACUGGAUUAUCCAUUUGUUUGUGCAAUCAGUGAUGGGAAUCUAACAUGUGUUAUGAUAAUGGCUGAAAGCCUCUCAAGCCAGAAUCAUGUCUGAAAAGUAAUUCUGUAUUCAAUCUUUUCCAUUCAAUGU
rnacentral:rRNA from 1 species